UGGGGAAUAUUGGACAAUGGGCGAAAGCCUGAUCCAGCCAUGCCGCGUGUGUGAAGAAGGUCUUCGGAUUGUAAAGCACUUUAAGUUGGGAGGAAGGGCAGUAAGCGAAUACCUUGCUGUUUUGACGUUACCGACAGAAUAAGCACCGGCUAACUCUGUGCCAGCAGCCGCGGUAAUACAGAGGGUGCAAGCGUUAAUCGGAAUUACUGGGCGUAGAGCGCGCGUAGGUGGUUCGUUAAGUUGAAUGUGAAAGCCCCGGGCUCAACCUGGGAACUGCAUCCAAAACUGGCGAGCUAGAGUAGGGCAGAGGGUGGUGGAAUUUCCUGUGUAGCGGUGAAAUGCGUAGAUAUAGGAAGGAACACCAGUGGCGAAGGCGACCACCUGGGCUCAUACUGACACUGAGGUGCGAAAGCGUGGGGAGCAAACAGG
rnacentral:rRNA from 1 species